UACAGAGGUGGCAAGCGUUGUUCGGAAUUACUGGGCGUAAAGGGCGCGUAGGCGGUCUUGUAAGUCUCGUGUGAAAUCCCUCGGCUUAACUGAGGAACUGCACGGGAUACUGCUUGACUUGAGUUCGGGAGAGGGAAGCGGAAUUCCGGGUGUAGCGGUGAAAUGCGUAGAUAUCGGGAGGAACACCUGUGGCGAAAGCGGCUCACUGGACCACAACUGACGCUGAGGCGCGAAAGCUAGGGGAGCAAACGGG
rnacentral:rRNA from 1 species